rnacentral:rRNA from 1 species
GACAGAGGCCUCAAGCGUUAGGCGGAAUUACUGGGCGUAAAGCGUGCGCAGGCGGUUUGCUAAGACAGGUGUGAAAUCCCCGGGCUUAACCUGGGAACUGCGCUUGUAACUGGCAAGCUAGAGUGUGGCAGAGGGGGGUGGAAUUCCACGUGUAGCAGUGAAAUGCGUAGAGAUGUGGAGGAACACCGAUGGCGAAGGCAGCCCCCUGGGCUAACACUGACGCUCAUGCACGAAAGCGUGGGGAGCAAACAGG